rnacentral:rRNA from 1 species
UACGUAGGGGGCAAGCGUUGUCCGGAAUCAUUGGGCGUAAAGCGCGUGUAGGCGGUCCGGUAAGUCCGCUGUGAAAGUCGGGGGCUCAACCCUCGAAUGCCGGUGGAUACUGUCGGGCUAGAGUGCGGAAGAGGCGAGUGGAAUUCCUGGUGUAGCGGUGAAAUGCGCAGAUAUCAGGAAGAACACCAACGGCGAAGGCAGCUCGCUGGGACGGUACUGACGCUGAGACGCGAAAGCGUGGGGAGCGAACAGG